AGGACGAACGCUGGCGGCGUGCUUAACACAUGCAAGUCGAACGGAAAGGCCCGCUUGCGGGUACUCGAGUGGCGAACGGGUGAGUAACACGUGGGCAACCUGCCCCUAGCUCUGGGAUAACUCCUCGAAAGAGGCGCUAAUACCGGAUAACGACCUUUUUGUGGCAUCACGAUUGGUCCAAAGUUUUUUCGGCUAGGGAUGGGCCCGCGGCCUAAUCAGCUUGUUGGUGGGGUAAUGGCCUACCAAGGCGACG
rnacentral:rRNA from 1 species